rnacentral:rRNA from 1 species
AACGAACACUGGCGGCAUGCCUAACACAUGCAAGUCGAACGAGACCUUCGGGUCUAGUGGCGCACGGGUGCGUAACGCGUGGGAACCUGCCCUUAGGUUCGGAAUAACUCCCCGAAAGGGGUGCUAAUACCGGAUAAUGUCUUCGGACCAAAGAUUUAUCGCCUUUGGAUGGGCCCGCGUUGGAUUAGCUAGUUGGUAGGGUAAAAGCCUACCAAGGCGACGAUCCAUAGCUGGUCUGAGAGGAUGAUCAGCCACACUGGGACUGAGACACGGCCCAGACUCCUACGGGAGGCAGCAGUGGGGAAUAUUGGACAAUGGGCGAAAGCCUGAUCCAGCAAUGCCGCGUGGGUGAUGAAGGCCUUAGGGUUGUAAAGCUCUUUUACCCGGGAUGAUAAUGACAGUACCGGGAGAAUAAGCGCCGGCUAACUCCGUG